CCUACGGGAGGCAGCAGUGAGGACUAUUGGUCAAUGGGCUCGAGCCUGAACCAGCCACGCCGCGUUAAGGCUGACUGCCCUACGGUUUGUCACCUUCUUUUAUAAAGGACUCAAGUGAGACACUUUUGCCUUUUUUGAUGUACUUUAUGCCUAAGGUUCGCCUAACUCCGUUCCAGCAGCCGCGGUAAUACGGAGGAUCAUAGCGUUAUCCGGAUUUCUUUGGUUUAAAGGUAUCGUAGAUGGGUUGUUCAGUCAGUUGUGAAAGUUUGCGGCUCAACCGUAAAAUUGAAUUCGAUACUGGCAGUCUUGAGUACAGUUGAGGUAGGCGGAAUGCGUGGUGUAGCGGUGAAAUGCUUAGAGAUCACGAAGAACACCGAUUGCGAAGGCAGCUUACCAAGCUGCCACUGACAUUGAUGCUCGAAAGUGUGGGUAUCAAACAGGAUUAGAUACCCGAGUAGUC
rnacentral:rRNA from 1 species